AUUACAUGAGUAAGCUUCAUAGUAAAAAGCCUUGGCAGUAAACGCCAUGAGUUCAGAAGAGAGUCGCCCUGGAGCAGCUGGAGUAGUCAGGGGAGGCUUCCAGGAGGAGGCCCCGAGCGGGGCGCGGCAGGAAGGCCUGGUGCCAGAAGGGACGACCCGCCAGGAAGGGGCGGACGCGGGUUGCCGGCGCAGGAGGAGGCGCGGAAGCUCGGGCCUCGCAGCCCCACGCCCACUCGGUCCAGGACCCGCCCUGAGCCUCCGCCCGUGUGCGUGCUGUUUCCGCGGCCUGGAAUAGUCCUCCUCUCCCCACCCAGGAGCAUGCAGAGAAUUAAGAUAAAUCCGGCACGUGCAGAUGUUGGUGACGAGCUGAUUGUUACGCACCAUCAGGGAGGAGUCAGUGUCCUUUUCUGGUUCUA
ensembl:lncRNA